GACGAACGCUGGCGGCGUGCCUAAUACAUGCAAGUAGAACGCUGAAGAGAGGAGCUUGCUCUUCUUGGAUGAGUUGCGAACGGGUGAGUAACGCGUAGGUAACCUGCCUUGUAGCGGGGGAUAACUAUUGGAAACGAUAGCUAAUACCGCAUAACAAUGGAUGACACAUGUCAUUUAUUUGAAAGGGGCAAUUGCUCCACUACAAGAUGGACCUGCGUUGUAUUAGCUAGUAGGUGAGGUAAUGGCUCACCUAGGCGACGAUACAUAGCCGACCUGAGAGGGUGAGCGGCCACACUGGGACUGUGACACGGCCCAGACUCCUACGGGAGGCAGCAGUAGGGAAUCUUCGGCAAUGGGGGCAACCCUGACCAAGCAACGCCGCGUGAGUGAAGAAGGUUUUCGGAUCGUGAAGCUCUGUUGUAAGUCAAGAACGGGUGUGAGAGUGGAAAGUUCACACUGUGACGGUAGCUUACCAGAAAGGGACGGCUAACUACGUG
rnacentral:rRNA from 1 species